ensembl:lncRNA
CUGCUCGGCGCGUGCUGCCUGAGGGGGAGGUGCGGGCGUGUGAGGUCAGCCCCUGCACGCGGCUUCGUGUGCACGCGCAACUCUGCUUGAGGCACAUAUAUAAGCAACACGUGGGUAUACAGAGCCGCGGGAACGGUGUAUGAAGCAUGAGACAAGGCAAAAGGAGGACAGCGCAGCUGUCAAUGUCACGAUUUCAUCUACUACAGGAAAACAGUAGCUGAUUAAAAAAGGGCAACGGUCGAUAACACAACAAACACUGAAGAAAGUACAUGAGAGAAUUCCCUGUUCUAUUUUAGUGUUGAGGAAAUGAAGUUUGGGAAUGCAACAGAGCCAUCUUCAUCCAAUGAACCAAAGCUUCAGGGGUACAUUUUUUUUUCAGGUUUUAGAAGCGAUCACUUACUACUAAUAAGAGGCUCUUCCCACGUGUGUUCCUAGUUAUGCUUGGGAGUCUUUUUGCCACGUAGUUCCGUGUCACUCUGCAUCACCAAUUAUGAAAGCUGUUGAAAAGCAUACAGGCUGUUGCAACAGGAGUGUUCCCCCACCUAUGAACCAUCUGCUCAUUAGCACUGAAGAUUGAAUCCACCAGUUGAACUGCUUGGAGGCAGCAGAGACAAGAUGCAGAAACAUUAUGCUUAUGCUUCUUUGUUGAAACCAUUCAAUCCUUGCGGUUUGAGGAAAACAGAAACGAUUGGUUGUUUCAAAAAAUAUUUGGUCUUAGAGCACCUCCCUUCCCUUCCCUUCCCUUCCCUUCCCUUCCCUUCCCUUCCCUUCCCUUCCCUUCCCUUCCCUUCCCUUCCCUUCCCUUCCCUUCCCUUCCCUUCCCUUCCCUUCCCUUCCCUUCCCUUCCCUUCCCUUCCCUUCCCUUCCCUUCCUUCCCUUCCCUUCCCUUCCCUUCCCUUCCCUUCCCCACUGUAAAAAGGUUGUCAUAUCUGAGAUGCUGAUACAAAUACAGCUCCUAAGUCUCCUAUUUCUUCUGAAAUUAGGUCAAAAAGAAAAUAGAAAGUGCUUGCCAUUCCUUCUGUGCACAUCGGCCCCAUAGUUUAAGGAGAAAAAGAGAAGCUUAGAUGUCAAUAACAGAGGAACUUGUUCUUGAGCAGCCAACUCACUUUGAGAAAGAGAAGAAAGCCCACCCAGUCAGGCUGCCCUCCAUGAAAGGAGGCUACAGAACAGAGGAGAGGAAGAAAACGAACUUGUUAGUACAAGGGAUGUGCUUGACUGUCUAUGUUGCCAUUACCUACCUUAUUUCCCUUUACCCAGACUGUCCAGACAGGGUUAACACACUUGAUAACAGUUGUUGCAGUGGGAGUAGGUCGCUGUGAGGCUCAUUAGCUAGACUGUCUAACCUCACCUCGUGAGAAUGAUGAAAUUCCUGUAUUUUAGAAGGCAGUGCUGCUCAGUGCAGCACACAGAGGCCGAGCUGAGUUGCUUAGGAAUGCAAAGACUGUCCACUGUGACAGAGGAGUGAAGAAACAUUUACUCUCUAUUACAUGCCACGUUUCAAAUAUGCAGCAUUUUACCCUUCUGUUUCAGCUUCCUCACAGUGUUGCUUCGGGUUUUCUUCUUGUCCAGGAUCAGGCGAAGCUGAUUAUUGUUUUACUGGCGAAGUUACGUCACUGGUCACCUACAACAAGGAGUGAAGCCUUCCAUUUCUCACUUGCAGUCACCAGCUUCCAGUGUUCAGUAUUCAUAAAGCUGCUAAAAUCAAAGGAAUGCUAGAACAUCUCCUGUUUCACUGUAAGAAAGAGAAUCUAUCCUGUCUCAUUCCGAGAAAAGCCUGAAAACAUGAGGAAGGCAUACACAAUAAUGGUGUGAAAAGCAAAAAGCCUCCCCUGGGUGUUUUUUGAACCUCAUUUUUCUGGUGUUAACUUUGAGUUUGGCAGCAGUGCAAUUGCGAGUAUGGUAAAUUGGAAUGCACACCCAAACACAUGCGUACAUCUGCAGCCUCCCUCUUUGUGUAGGGCUGUGCAGCAGUCUUUCUGCUUGCUGUAAGCAGCAGUGUUCGCCCAGCAGAUGCAUGAUGAUGGCUUCACAGCAAGAGAAGUUAGUCCUGCACGUGCAAACAACGUGUUUACUAGUGCUUCCUUAACCACUUUGUGAGGUGAACUGGUGAGUCACAGGAAUGUGCUCCAGCCUGUGUAAUAGUGGAUAAUACAAACAUGAAACU